rnacentral:rRNA from 1 species
UUCGCAAUGCCCGAAAGGGUGACGAAGCGACGCCGCGUGUGGGAAGAAGGCCUUCGGGUUGUAAACCACUGUUGGGAGUUAGGAAGUGUGGGGGUGUUAAUAGCGCCUUCACUUGACUAAAGCUCCAGAGGAAGCCACGGCUAACUCUGUGCCAGCAGCCGCGGUAAUACAGAGGCAGCAAGCGUUGUUCGGAAUUAUUGGGCGUAAAGAGCACGUAGGCGGCUCUGUAAGUCAGCUGUGAAAGCCUUCUGCUUAACGGAAGAACAGCAGUUGAAACUACAGUGUUUGAGUGCGGGAGGGGAGAGUGGAACUUCUGGAGGAGCAGUGAAAUGCGUAGAUAUCAGAAGGAACGCCGGCGGCGAAAGCGGCUCUCUGGCCCGUAACUGACGCUGAGUGUGCGAAAGCUAGGAGAGCAAACGGGAUUAGAUACCCCGGUAGUCCUAGCCGUAAACGAUGGGCACUAAGUAGAGGGGUUUU